rnacentral:rRNA from 1 species
GACGAACGCUGGCGGCGUGCUUAACACAUGCAAGUCGAACGGAAAGGCCCUGCUUUUGUGGGGUGCUCGAGUGGCGAACGGGUGAGUAACACGUGAGUAACCUGCCCUUGACUUUGGGAUAACUUCAGGAAACUGGGGCUAAUACCGGAUAGGAGCUCCUGCUGCAUGGUGGGGGUUGGAAAGUUUCGGCGGUUGGGGAUGGACUCGCGGCUUAUCGGCUUGUUGGUGGGGUAGUGGCUUACCAAGGCUUUGACGGGUAGCCGGCCUGAGAGGGUGACCGGCCACAAUGGGACUGAGAUACGGCCCAGACUCCUACGGGAGGCAGCAGUGGUGAAUAUUGCACAAUGGGCGGAAGCCUGUUGCAGCAACGCCGCGUGCGGGAUGACGGCCUUCGGGUUGUAAACCGCUUUCGCCUGUGACGAAGCGUGAGUGACGGUAAUGGGUAAAGAAGCACCGGCUAACUACGUG